rnacentral:rRNA from 1 species
CGAACGCUGGCGGCAGGCCUAACACAUGCAAGUCGAACGAACUCUUCGGAGUUAGUGGCGGACGGGUGAGUAACACGUGGGAACGUGCCUUUAGGUUCGGAAUAACUCAGGGAAACUUGUGCUAAUACCGAAUGUGCCCUUCGGGGGAAAGAUUUAUCGCCUUUAGAGCGGCCCGCGUCUGAUUAGCUAGUUGGUGAGGUAAAGGCUCACCAAGGCGACGAUCAGUAGCUGGUCUGAGAGGAUGAUCAGCCACAUUGGGACUGAGACACGGCCCAAACUCCUACGGGAGGCAGCAGUGGGGAAUCUUGCGCAAUGGGCGAAAGCCUGACGCAGCCAUGCCGCGUGAAUGAUGAAGGUCUUAGGAUUGUAAAAUUCUUUCACCGGGGACGAUAAUGACGGUACCCGGAGAAGAAGCCCCGGCUAACUUCGUG